rnacentral:rRNA from 1 species
UACGUAGGGGGCAAGCGUUGUCCGGAUUUAUUGGGCGUAAAGAGCGUGUAGGCGGCCUUACAGGUCAGCUGGGAAAACUCGAGGCUCAACCUCGAGACGUCGGUUGAAACCGUAAGGCUAGAGUCCGGAAGAGGAGAGUGGAAUUCCCGGUGUAGCGGUGAAAUGCGCAGAUAUCGGGAAGAACACCCGUGGCGAAGGCGGCUCUCUGGGACGGUACUGACGCUGAGACGCGAAAGCGUGGGGAGCGAACAGG